rnacentral:tRNA from 1 species
GGCCCGCUGGGUCAUGGAAAAGAUGAUGGGCAUUCAUCGGCAUCGAAAGUUGCCCCUGUUUUCCCGCAGAUCGUUUCUGCGGUCGGUCCC